rnacentral:rRNA from 1 species
CCUACGGGCGGCAGCAGUGAGGAAUAUUGGUCAAUGGGCGAGAGCCUGAACCAGCCAAGUCGCGUGAGGGAGUACUGCCCUAUGGGUUGUAAACCUCUUUUGUCGGGGAGCAAAAGCCGGACGUGUCCGGCUGUGAGAGUACCCGAAGAAAAAGCAUCGGCUAACUCCGUGCCCGCAGCCGCGGUAAUACGGAGGAUGCGAGCGUUAUCCGGAUUUAUUGGGUUUAAAGGGUGCGCAGGCGGAUUUUUAAGUUAGCGGUCAAAGCGUGGGGCUCAACCCCAUCCAGCCGUUGAAACUGGGGAACUAGAGUGUGCGAGAGGUAUGCGGAAUGCGUGGUGUAGCGGUGAAAUGCGUAGAUAUUAGGAGGAACACCAGUGGCGAAGGCGGCUUACUGGACAGUAACUGACGUUGAGGCGCGAAAGCGUGGGGAGCAAACAGGAUUAGAUACCCCUGUAGUC